UACGAAGGGGGCUAGCGUUGCUCGGAAUCACUGGGCGUAAAGCGCACGUAGGCGGAUUGCUAAGUCAGGGGUGAAAUCCUGGAGCUCAACUCCAGAACUGCCUUCGAUACUGCGGGUCUCGAGUCCGGGAGAGGUGAGUGGAAUUCCUAGUGUAGAGGUGAAAUUCGUAGAUAUUAGGAAGAACACCAGUGGCGAAGGCGGCUCACUGGCCCGGUACUGGACGCUG
rnacentral:rRNA from 1 species